rnacentral:lncRNA from 1 species
CUCAUUCAUAGAUUACAUGAUGGAAAUUGUUAUAGACUACUGAGUAGCGGCUCUUGGUGAAACUGAGGUUUUGUGGUGUUUUGUUUUGUUUUUAAAGUUCUUAGGUAUUUCAUAUUCAGUCACCAGUUCCAUGAUUUUUAUUCCUUUUGUUUUGAAUAGAUGUGAGGGUGGUCACUCUCAAAAUUAGAGUUUAUGAAAACUGCACAAUCCCGGACAGCGUCACUCCUUAUUUCAACCCCUUCUUAAAGACUACAUGAGGCCCCGGUGAAGGGAGUGAGUGUGACUCCCUGGAGCUGCCCCAUCCAAGUUCCUGUUAUUUCUGGCUUCCUGUUGGAUUCAGCCAAUGGGAAGCAAGGUAAGCAAUCAGCAGGUGGGAGAAGAAGACUCUCUCCCACCUCCCAAUUUUUGCUGUAAUUCCCAACGAU